GGGAGAGUGCAGGGUCCUGGGCUGUGUCCCCCAGUGCCCUGGGCUCCGGGGCCUGUGCUGCUGGAAUCGCACUCCUGGGGCAUGCAGCCCCCU
rnacentral:pre_miRNA from 1 species